rnacentral:lncRNA from 1 species
AUGGCAGUUUCCUGCCCUAGCCUCUUCUCUCGGCCUAUCUUCAUUCAUGUGACAAUGCUGAAGAAAGGGUUCAGGAGCCAUCAAACCCUCUCUUUACCACCGUCUCACCACCAGGAUGAAGCUACCCUCUUCUCCGUGGCAAGAAUGGAAAAUAAACAAAUGGCGUGCCAGAGAUCUGUUGUAAGGAUUUGGUCCACCUGCAAGGUAGCUUUGGGAACCUUAUCUUUCCAGAGAAAUUAUUUCCAGAGGACUUGGAUGGUGAGAGAAGAAUGGUGGGAGUGCAGAAUGCUGAACAUGAGGUCAAAGGCAGGAUGAAGUCAUGAACAUCAUGGAGAGGGGGUAGUAUGUGCGCAAGUCUGAGGCCUCUGGGGCCUCUGUAUAGGUGAGAGAAACAAAGAACUGGUAUGUGGUUGGGGGGAUAAAAAAAAGUAUGUGUCUGGGUCACUUUGUUCUGCCUAGCCUCCCUAACUCCUCUGGGGGUAGUUUAGGAUAGAAUGGGUCAGGUAGGUGUUGGAC